rnacentral:misc_RNA from 1 species
GUAUUUUGAAUUAUCUUAUUUGUAAUAUUUUUCAGACAAAGAGAUAAAAAAUUAGGUUGAUGUUUGGCCGAUCUCCAUAAAGAAGAUCGACUGACAUUGCACACAAGGUGGAUAUGGAUUUAAAAAGUGCCAUAAAAUACUUAUUAUGAAUGAUCCUUCCGCAAGUUCACCUACGGAAA